AUUGUCUCUUGGCUUUUGACUAAGAUCAAGUGUAGUAUCUGUUCUUAUCAGUUUUAGAUACAUUUUGUGGGCCCAUGACUUUUGUAGUUUUUGCUUGAGUUUAAUAGCUAACAUUA
rnacentral:snRNA from 1 species